GAGUUUGAUCCUGGCUCAGGACGAACGCUGGCGGCGUGCCUAACACAUGCAAGUCGAGCGAGGAGAUUCCCUUCGGGGAUGAACCUAGCGGCGGACGGGUGAGUAACACGUGGGCAACCUGCCUUAUAGAGGGGAAUAGCCUUCCGAAAGGAAGAUUAAUACCGCAUAACAUUACAUUUUCGCAUGAAGAAGUAAUUAAAGGAGUAAUCCGCUAUAAGAUGGGCCCGCGGCGCAUUAGCUAGUUGGUGAGGUAACGGCUCACCAAGGCGACGAUGCGUAGCCGACCUGAGAGGGUGAUCGGCCACAUUGGGACUGAGACACGGCCCAGACUCCUACGGGAGGCAGCAGUGGGGAAUAUUGCACAAUGGGGGAAACCCUGAUGCAGCAACGCCGCGUGAGUGAUGAAGGUCUUCGGAUCGUAAAGCUCUGUCUUCAGGGACGAUAAUGACGGCACCUGAGGAGGAAGCCACGGCUAACUACGUGCCAGCAGCCGCGGUAAUAC
rnacentral:rRNA from 1 species